rnacentral:lncRNA from 1 species
ACUCAACCAUUUGAGCCCUUUUGAUCUUCCUUCAUCUAGUCUUCCUUUCCUAGUCCACAGAUGGCUGCCUGGCUUCAGAGAUGGGGGUUUUCCCUUUUGAACCCGGGAGACUUCAAGGCCCAGCUGAGAUGUCCGGAUAUCCGGUGCCAUCCAAGAAGCCUGAACCCCCAGCGCCGCGGCUGAUCCUCCUUGCAGGUACUAUACUAAGCCCUGCAGCAGUGAUGGUGAACCUAUGGCACAGAUGCCAAAGAUGGCACACAGAGCACUCUCUAUGGGUGACCCAGCAGAUAACGGCAGUUGUACUGCAUAAUAGAAAGAAGAGGCCACUUCCACAAAGCUAGGUUGGAAACCAGGAUUCACUGUCACCAGGAGGAUGGAAAUGACCUUACAGGGAAUUCGCCUGCUUCUUCAGUGCAUCUGCGACAUUAAACUCGACUAGUUCUGCCCAUGAAAAUAAAUGGAUAAAGUGUCCCGCUCUAUAUGCCCCC